UUCUUUUCAUGGAAAAAUGGCAUCUAAUACUAGUGCUGAUACUAGUGCUCUUUGGAGUAUAAGUGCUAAAAACAACAUAGAAAAAUCAUAGUGCUGAUAAUCAUGGCAUGAGAUCAAACCAUAGUACUAACAUGUCAAUGUUAUUAAAAAUAUUAUUAUUAGGAUGGUAAUAUGGAAACAAGACACGACAUUAGAUGAAAAGUAAUGCUAGCAUCUAAUACGGAUGUCAUAACACGUGCAUGCAAGUGCAAACUAUCAAAUGAUCUAAGUGUACUACUCUAACCACACAGGUUGCGAGCAAAAUCAUCACACAAGUCCGGAGCUCAUAAUAAGAGGUUGUCUUGCCUGGGGGGUUCAACGAAUACGUCGAGAGGAAGCACGAUAAAACACAGGAAAGAUUUGCCUACGAAGUUUCCAUCUCGGAGGGCUCGAUCGAAGUGCAAGGGCAAAAUGGUCAAUUUCCACCGUGUGAAAACAGUAUGGAAAUGGUACCAACACGGCAGGAUCAAAGGGAUGAACGAGUCGGCGUUGGUUUUACCUCAAUUGGGGUUACGGUCGCGAAGACACGGACGUUCAUUCGUUAGGCAGGAAUCAAAUAAAAACUUAUUCAUUUCUGCUCUUGACCAAUGAAUGUACGCAAUAUAAAGGGUUCGACCGGCUGGGCUAAAACAGAAGGCGUAUCUUGGGGAAUACGGUUUCCUGAGCUGACAGUGUACUCAUGGAAAUACGCUUCCUCUUAAGAUCCAUGGGCUCGGUGUCAACGCAGCUGUAUCAGCUACAGGUGCAGCCGAGAGGAGGAGGGGCCCGCUGGCAGGCAUUGCCUUCUUCUACCUCUCGCGCCCCCGCGAUGCAGAGGAUAGGCGAACGGCACCGGUGCUCGCCCGGGCAACUCCGUCCCUCCCUGGUGGAUCCCAGACCACCGGCGGAGUCAGGAGGGAGCGCCGCAUCCCUCGGGUUACGAGGCGGAUGCUGGGAAGCACCAAGCUAGGCGAGGCAUUGGCCGCGGUGGAGAACAGUUGCGGGCGCCGGGGGGUUCAUGGCCAGAAGUCACCGGAGGAAAGGUUAAGGCGCGGGGAGGCUUUCUGGAACAUAGUGAAACUACUGGUGGUGGUAGGUUGGCAUUAGGAGCUUCGGCUCAUCCCAAUUUAAGCGGCGACCGAAGGUGACCGAGGCGGCA
rnacentral:lncRNA from 1 species